UACGAAGGGGGCGAGCAUUGUUCGGAAUUACUGGGCGUAAAGGGUGCGUAGGCGGAUCGGAUAGUCAGAUGUGAAAGCCCAGGGCUUAACCCUGGAAUUGCAUUUGAUACUGCCAGUCUGGAGUAUUGGAGAGGAGCGUGGAAUUCCCAGUGUAGAGGUGAAAUUCGUAGAUAUUGGGAGGAACACCAGUGGCGUAGGCGACGCUCUGGCCAAAUACUGACGCUGAGGCACGAAAGUGUGGGGAGCAAACAGG
rnacentral:rRNA from 1 species